rnacentral:rRNA from 1 species
GAUGAACGCUGGCGGCGUGCUUAACACAUGCAAGUCGAACGGUGAAGGCGGAGCUUGCUCUGCUGGAUCAGUGGCGAACGGGUGAGUAACACGUGAGCAAUCUGCCCCUGACUCUGGGAUAAGCGCUGGAAACGGCGUCUAAUACUGGAUACGAGCUGCGAAGGCAUCUUCAGCAGCUGGAAAGAAUUUCGGUCAGGGAUGAGCUCGCGGCCUAUCAGCUUGUUGGUGAGGUAAUGGCUCACCAAGGCGUCGACGGGUAGCCGGCCUGAGAGGGUGACCGGCCACACUGGGACUGAUACACGGCCCAGACUCCUACGGGAGGCAGCAGUGGGGAAUAUUGCACAAUGGGCGAAAGCCUGAUGCAGCAACGCCGCGUGAGGGACGACGGCCUUCGGGUUGUAAACCUCUUUUAGCAGGGAAGAAGCGAAAGUGACGGUACCUGCAGAAAAAGCGCCGGCUAACUACGUG